rnacentral:snRNA from 1 species
GGCCUUGUAUGGUACUGGUUUU